rnacentral:misc_RNA from 1 species
UCCGUGUUAACCACGGCAGUCUCCUUAGAGAGCCCAACUUAAUGAUGGCAACUAAGGACAAGGGUUGCGCUCGUUGCGGGACUUAACCCAACAUGUCACCACACGAGCUGACGACAGCCAUGCAGCACCUGUCUCUCUGCUGUAUUGCUACAGAAGCCGUAUUUCUACGGAUGUCAGAGGAUGUCAAAUCCAGGUAAGGUUCUUCGCGUUGCUUCGAAUUAAACCACAUGAUCCACCGCUUGUGCGGGCCCCCGUCAAUUCCUUUGAGUUUUAGUCUUGCGACCGUACUUCCCAGGCGGGGUACUUAUCGCGUUAGCUCCGGUCCGGCAGGGGUCAAUACCCACCUGACCUAGUACCCAUCGUUUACAGCGUGGACUAC